UAUUAUAUAUUAAUUUUACCUGAAUAAACUAAUUAUAUCAUAUUUCAAAAGAAAUGAAAUUCCAAAACAAAACAAUAAUAAAAUCUAUCUUAAAUUAGCCAAAAACCAGGAUUAGAUACCCUGCUAUCCUAAAAUUAUAUAAUAAUUCAAAGAAAAAAACAAAAUAAAUUUGACGGUAUUAAUAUUUACAAAGGAUUUUGUUUUAAAAUCGAAAACACACGUUUUACCUCACUUAAAUCUUAUUUGUAUACCACCGUUAACGAAAUUAUUUUAAAUAAAUUUCACAAAAAACUAAACCCUUAAAAAAUCAGGUCAAGGCGCAAUUAAUUUAAGUUAAAAUGAAAUACAUUAAUAUAAUAUUAAAUAUUUUUUUUUGAAAAAAAAAAUAAACAGAAUUUGAUAGUAAAAAUAAAUAAUCAUGUUAUUUUGAAAAUUUCAAUUAAUAUG
rnacentral:rRNA from 3 species